rnacentral:misc_RNA from 1 species
GCUCAAAUAUAAAACUAUUCAUCCUCAUACCAUAAAUCAAUGUCAAGUUAGCUAUCAUUUUAUCUGCCAAUUCACACACAGAUUCAAAGCUUUCUAAAAGAUAGACUUGAAAUCUAUCACUUUCAUGUCGAAGAACAAAGAAAGAAUCAGUCACACGCCAACACAACUGACCUUGCAUAUCUAAUGCAAAUGCAAUAACACAUAUUUGGGAAACAUGCAAUAAUACACACUUGUGUCAUUGAUUUGUGUCCAGCCUCAAGCAUAAGAUAUGCAAGGUCAG